rnacentral:rRNA from 1 species
CCCUGCUGGAGGUAUCGGAAGUGCGAAUGCUGACAUGAGUAGCGAUAAAGCGGGUGAAAGGCCCGCUCGCCGAAAGCCCAAGGUUUCCUGCGCAACGUUCAUCGGCGCAGGGUGAGUCGGCCCCUAAGGCGAGGCCGAAAGGCGUAGUCGAUGGGAAACAGGUUAAUAGUCCUGUACCUUUAUGCAAUGCGAUGGGGGGACGGAGAAGGUUAGGUGGGCCGGGUGUUGGACGUCCCGGUUCAAGCGUGUAGGCGUGCCCGGCAGGCAAAUCCGCUGGGCUUAGCCGAGGCGUGAUGACGCAAGGCUCCUCGGAGCCCCAAGCCGCUGAGACCCCGCUUCCAGGAAAAGCCUCUAAGCUUCAGUUGCAUGAAGACCGUACCGCAAACCGACACAGGUGGGCAGGAUGAAGAUUCUAAGGCGCUUGAGAGAACUCAGGAGAAGGAACUCGGCAAAUUGAUACCGUAACUUCGGGAGAAGGUAUGCCCCGGUAGGCUGUAGGAGAACAUCCGAAGGCCGAUGGGGUCGCAGAGAAUCGGUGGCUGCGACUGUUUAAUAAAAACACAGCACUCUGCAAAGACGACGAGUCGACGUAUAGGGUGUGACGCCUGCCCGGUGCCGGAAGGUUAAGUGAUGGGGUGCAAGCUCUUGAUCGAAGCCCCGGUAAACGGCGGCCGUAACUAUAACGGUCCUAAGGUAGCGAAAUUCCUUGUCGGGUAAGUUCCGACCUGCACGAAUGGCGUAACGAUGGCCACACUGUCUCCUCCUGAGACUCAGCGAAGUUGAAGUGUUUGUGAAGAUGCAAUCUCCCCGCUGCUAGACGGAAAGACCCCAUGCACCUUUACUGUAGCUUUGCAUUGGACUUUGAUGAGACUUGUGUAGGAUAGGUGGGAGGCUUUGAAACCGGGAUGCUAGUUCCGGUGGAGCCGUCCUUGAAAUACCACCCUGGUGUCAUUGAGGUUCUAACCUGGGCCCCUUAACGGGGUCGGGGACCGUGCAUGGCAGGCAGUUUGACUGGGGCGGUCUCCUCCCAAAGGGUAACGGAGGAGUUCGAAGGU